CAAAUCUUUCUAUUUUCCUUCAUCGUCGAGAGGGAAAUAGCCCGGAUCACCAACUAAGGCCCCUAAAUGACCGCUCAGUGAUAAAGGA